CCUCCUGCAGCUCUGGACACGUCCAACGUGAUGGUGAAGAUGCAGGUGUUCGAGCUGCUGGCGGCGCUCGCCCUCUUCGACCCCCAGGGCUGCAGCCUGAUCCUGGACGCCUUCGAGAACUACAAGACUCUGAGGAAGCAGCAGUAUCGCUUCAGCGUCAUCAUGAACGAACUGCAGGCCACUGACAGCGCCCCCUACAUGGUCGCCAUGAUGGCCGUCAUCAACGUCCUCCUCCUGGGACAGGAAGACCUGCGCAAGAGACAGCGACUCAGACAGGAGUUCAUCGGGCUGCAGCUGCUGGAUCUGCUCCCCAAGCUGAGAGAGACGGAGGACAUGGACCUCAACAUCCAGUGCGAUGCGUUCGAAGACUCCAUGGCGGACGACGAAGAGGAGAUGGAGAGACUGUACGGCGGGAUCGACAUGAGCAACCACCAGGAAGUCUUCAGUUUGCUCUUCACCAAGGUGUCCAGCUGUCCAUCCUCAGUCCAGCUGCUGUCCAUCCUUCAGGCCUUGUCGAUGGUGGACCCAGAGAGAAACGACAUCUGGCUGGCUCUGGAGGCGCUGACCGAUCGAGCCACGCUGCUGGCCCAGAACGCUGAUUUAGGUCCCGGUGAUUCGCUGCUGGAUCGGCUCUUCCCCCCAAAACAUCCGUCAUCCAAUAAGAAGGUCAGAACGGUGGACAGGGCGGUGCAGACCCGACCGCUCAGCUGCCCUCCUGACCAAUUACAGCUGUUGGCAGAGAAACAGGCUCCGCCCCCUGCAGCUGGUUGUCCUCCACCUCCUCCUCCUCCUCCACCUCCUCCUCCUCCUCCUCCUCCACCACCUUUACCUGGUAUUGGAGCUCCGCCUCCUCCGCCUCCACCACUACCAGGCGCCGGACCUCCACCGCCUCCACCUUUACCUGGCAUGGGGAUCCCACCGCCUCCACCAAUGGAAAUGAUCGCCGCUCAUUCAGCACCGACUUUAGGCAGCGCCUACUUUAGCCCCGCCCACCACUCAAGCCCCGCCCCCUGCCCCUCCCUGCGGAUGAAGAAGCUGAACUGGCAGAAACUCCCGUCCAGAGUGGUAACCGAUCAUCAGUCUCUCUGGACAUCGUCAUCGUCGGAAUCGGUGGAACCAGAUUACUGCAGCAUCGAGCAGCUCUUCAGUCUGCCUCCCACUGAGACCAAAACCAGAACCAAGACCAGAACGGAGUCCAAAGAGAUUUCCUUCAUUGACGCCAAGAAAAGCCUGAACCUCAACAUCUUCCUGAAGCAGUUCAGAUGCUCCCAUGAGGAGUUUGUGUCUCUGGUCCAGAACGGAGACCGGUCCAAGUUCGAUGUGGAAAUCCUCAAGCAGCUGGUCAAACUGCUGCCAGAGAAACACGAGAUAGAAAACCUGAAGUCCCACCAGGAAGACAGAGACAAGAUGGCGUCAGUGGAUCAGUUUUACCUGCAGCUGCUGAACGUGCCCAGCUACGCGCUGAGAAUCGAGUGCAUGCUGCUGUGUGAAGAGAGCAGCUGUGCGCUGGAGACUCUGAAACCCAAAGCCGAACUUCUGGACCGGGCCUGCCAAAGUGUGAGGGAGAGCUGCCGCCUGCCCAGCUUCUGCAAACUCAUCCUCAGCGUCGGGAACUUCCUCAACUAUGGAACUCACACUGGGAACGCCGACGGCUUUAAAAUCGGCACUUUGCUCCGACUGACUGAAACUAAAGCCAACAAGUCCAGGAUCACGCUGCUGCACCACAUCCUGGAGGAGGUGGAGGAGAACCACCCGGACCUGCUCAACCUGCCUGACGACCUGCAGAUCUGUGAAAAGGCUUCUGGGGUGAACAUGGAGUCCAUCCAGUCUGAGUACUACUCUCUGUCCAAACGGCUCAAAAGCUCUGAGAAAAAAGUUUCCUUUUCCUCUGAGGACAUAAAGGAGCAGUACCUGUCUGCCAUCCAGGAGAGCCUGCAGGUGUGUGAGCAGCUGCAGAAGGUCAUGACCUCUGUGGAGGACAGGAGGCGGGACCUGGCGGACUACCUGUGCGAAGACGUCGGCACCUUCUGCCUCGACGACCUCUUUGGGAUCAUCAAGACCUUCAGAGGGCUGUUCCUCAAAGCCCUCAAGGAGAACGAAAACCGGAGAGAGCUGGAGAAGAAGAGAAAGAAAAGAGAGGAGGAGAAGCAGCUGAAAGGAGAUUCCAGCAGGAUGGUCAGGAGGGAGGUGAACCAGCAGGACGACGGCUGCAUCAUCGACCACCUGAUGGCCGAGAUCCGGAAGGGCCACGCCCUGAAGACCAGAACGCCGUCCCGCAGGGGCAGCAGGGGGCAGCGCCGGGGGUCACUUCCUGUUCCCGCAGACACGGUGCACGCGCGUCCCGGGACCAUACGGAGGUCAAAGGCCGUCGAGGACCCCGACUCCCCUCUCUGUAGCCAAUCACAGAAGACAUCUGGAAUGACCUCAAUCCAGGAGGAUCCGCCCUCCCAUCCAGGAAGCUCCAGCCAAUCAAAGAAGCCGUUGGAGGCGGUCCAGACUCCUGGCACUUUCAACCAAUCUGCGACGGCCUGGCCCUCCGGAACGAGUCCUGAUCCCAGGUCAGCAGAACCGCCAAAGAACCAGAACCCACAAACACCUACAGCCGUUCCCGCUGGACCUGCAGAGGAGACCAGGCGGAGGCGUCAGGAGUCUUUAAAGGACUCGGGUCUGGAAACCCAAAGUUCCUCAGGACUGAAGGGAGUCCAGCCCGGCGCAGAGCGUCCGGCACCGAGCAGAGUCUGGAACAGCCUGAGCGCGGCGGAUGGGUCGGACUUUGAGUACAUCUCCUCGUCAGAAGUGAUAGGAAUCGGACUGGAGAACGGCAAAAAUCCAAACGAGAGUCCGAGCAGGAGAACGCACAAGACCCGUCCAAAAGCCGGGACAAACGCAGAGGAUGUGGGUCUGGUUUCCUCCCGGGCCUGAACCCGUCCGCGCCUCACCCGAGGUAGAACCCGACUCAGACAGAACCUCUUUUAAUCCCAAAUAAUCCCGUCAGUGAUUCCACGUCUCUGCAUGUCACCUCCAGCUCUUUCUGAAUCGGGUUUGAGGACCAAACAUGUCAAAGGUUCACCUCUCAGCCAAUCAGCUGCUUCGUAACAAAUGUUAGAAAAUCUGCUGGAUGAAGAUCCGACUAACACCAAAUCCUGUAAUGUCUGAUUAAAACACGCAGACCAGGCCUCCUGUAAAAGGUUGCAGACCAGCGGUGUCCAGAGGCUCCAGAGGGACGAGUCCUGAGAGCAUUUUCUAGAAGAAACUCAGAAAUGACUCCAUGACGGCGUCGGAUCCCAAAGCCCCAAGCAGAAGAGAGGAUGCGUUGUGCAGUGAGGUGAGCGGAGGAGGACCCGUCUCCGUGGCAACAGGAAAGAUCUGAAACGGAAUAAAAACUGUGCAUUGAGAGCAGAGAGUAGGUUUUCUGGUUUCUGGUUCGGUGAGCGUCGACGUGCUAAUGCAGGUUACCUGAGCAGCCAGGUGAGCGGAAGUGGGCGGGGCCUCCGAUUUGCCCUGGUUUCAUUGGUUGAAGAUCAGAUCUCAGAUCAGGGAAUUCUGGGUAAAACCAGACGUUGAACUCAGACAGGUGAUAAAAUGUGGGAGUGACCUCCAUCAUUUCCUGUUACUGCAUUUAACUUCCUGUCCUGCAGCCUGUCACAAUAAAACUCCGUCUGAUGGUUUAAAUCUGCAGGA